CACAAGUGUGAGAGCAUUUGAAGACAGGGCUGAAGAGGUAAUUAAUUGAGGUCAUGGGGUCCUAAUCCAAUAGGAUUAGUGGCCUUAGGAGAAGAGUAAGAGGAUGACACCUGUCUCUCGAGUUGUGAACCAAGGAGAAGCCACGUGAAGACACAGCAAGGGCCACUCUCUGAAAGCCAGGAGGAGGCCCGGCCAGGCUGGACCAGGCUGGCACCUUGAUCUUGGACUUCACUGCCUCCAGAACUGUGACGACAUAAACUGCUGUUGUGCAAGCCACUGUGUCCAUGGUAUUUUGUUAUGGCAGCCCAAGCUGACCAUGACAAUGUGUACCAGUGCUUGAAAGGUGCUGAGGGCAUCAUACCAAACUUGAAGAGAAGCAGUGCUGAACACGAGAGUAAUAUCUGCAGUCAAGGUGGGGACAGUCCUCAGGGGAGACAGACAUGUGCUCUCGUUAUCCUUAUCCGAGGCACUUGGCUGGGUGGAGGUGCGAGGGGGCAUUUUAAUCAGCAAGAUCACUGGAGCCAUCGCUGGCACUUGAGGAGAGGGGGAUGGGUGUGGUGUCUCACAGUGGACCAGCUCACUGAUGAGUCAGGACUAACCCAGACGUGUGAACUCUCUCGGCCCUGCUUCCCCUGAGCUCUGCCUCCAGAGCAUCGAGGGGGAGGCUGGGCUGGGCCUCCCCUCCCUACAUCACCCCUCAUUAUUUGCAAGACAGAAGGGCUUCAGUGAGGCCCGGAGGAGGGCUUCAGCCACAGGAGGCAAGAAUGAUCCAACAAAAGCCUCCCCUCUCCCAAACUCCCAG
rnacentral:lncRNA from 1 species